AUGUUCUCUGUUUCUCUGCUGCUGUUGGUUGCAGUUGCUUCCUGUGUGAACAGUGAACAACUCACCCAGCGAGCCUCUAUGACUGUUCAGCCAGGUCAAGCACUGACCAUCCCUUGUCAGGUUUCCUAUUUUGUUAGUGGUUACUGGACUGCAUGGAUUCGACAACCUCAGGGUAAAGCAUUAGAGUGGAUGGGAUACAAAUGCAGUGGAGGUAGCUCAGUUACCAAAGACUUACUGAAGAACAAAGUCAGUUUCACUGUAGACACCACCACAAACACGGUGUUCCUCAAAGGAAACAACUUUCAGCCAGAAGACACAACUUUGUAUAACUGUGCCCGAGAAUCUAAUCACCUCACAAUGUUUCCUACUUUUGGAAUACUCUACCUGAUGAUGUGUGUGAUAGGUAUUCAAUGUCAGACACUGACUGAGUCUGAACCAGUAGUUGUGAAGCCUGGAGAAUCCCACAAACUGACCUGUACUGCCGCUGGGUUCACAUUCAGUAGCUACUAUAUGGCUUGGAUCAGACAGGCUCCUGGGAAGGGGCUGGAGUGGGUGGCAACCAAAGUUCUCUGA